ACUGAUUCGGCCAUGCCGCGUGUGUGAAGAAGGCCUUCGGGUUGUAAAGCACUUUCAGCGAGGAAGAACGCCAGGGGGUUAAUACCCCCCUGGAAAGACAUCACUCGCAGAAGAAGCACCGGCUAACUCCGUGCCAGCAGCCGCGGUAAUACGGAGGGUGCAAGCGUUAAUCGGAAUUACUGGGCGUAAAGCGCGCGUAGGUGGCUUGAUAAGCCGGUUGUGAAAGCCCCGGGCUCAACCUGGGAACGGCAUCCGGAACUGUCAAGCUAGAGUGCAGGAGAGGAAGGUAGAAUUCCCGGUGUAGCGGUGAAAUGCGUAAAGAUCGGGAGGAAUACCAGUGGCGAAGGCGGCCUUCUGGACUGACACUGACACUGAGGUGCGAAAGCGUGGGUAGCAAACCCGAUUAAAUACCCUGGUAGUCCACGCCGUAAACGAUGUUUACCUCCGUUGGGUGCCUAGCGCACUUUGCGGCGAAGUUAACGUCAUACGCCUACCGCCUGUUACCUACUUGCACGAGGAUAAAACUCAGAAGAAUUAACCGGCUGACCCACAAGCCGUGGAGCAUGUGUUUUUAACCAAUAAGAGGACAAAAAGGUAAAUAUAAUUAAGAUCAUCACUAUCAGGAUGAUCAUAAAAAGACUUUUAUGAAAAAGAUCAUGAACAUGCAA
rnacentral:rRNA from 1 species